rnacentral:tRNA from 1 species
GAGGGUAUAACUCAGUGGUAGAGAGAAUGCUUAAUAUGCACAAGGUCCUGGGUUCAAUCCCCAAUACCUCCA